rnacentral:rRNA from 1 species
UACGUAGGGGGCGAGCGUUGUCCGGAUUUACUGGGCGUAAAGCGCGUGUAGGCGGCCCGUUAAGUUGGGUGUGAAAGCCCGGGGCUCAACUCCGGAAUUGCCUUUAAGACUGCAUCGCUAGAAUUGUGGAGAGGUAAGUGGAAUUCCGAGUGUAGAGGUGAAAUUCGUAGAUAUUCGGAAGAACACCAGUGGCGAAGGCGACUUACUGGACACAUAUUGACGCUGAGGUGCGAAAGCGUGGGGAGCAAACAGG